UACGUAGGGGGCAAGCGUUGUCCGGAUUCAUUGGGCGUAAAGAGCUCGUAGGCGGCUUGGCAAGUCGGGUGUGAAACCUCCAGGCUCAACCUGGAGACGCCACCCGAUACUGCCAUGGCUAGAGUCCGGUAGGGGACCACGGAAUUCCUGGUGUAGCGGUGAAAUGCGCAGAUAUCAGGAGGAACACCGGUGGCGAAGGCGGUUCUCUGGGCAUUACCUGACGCUGAGGAGCGAAAGUGUGGGGAGCGAACAGG
rnacentral:rRNA from 1 species